AACGAACGCUGGCGGCAUGCCUAACACAUGCAAGUCGAACGAGACCUUCGGGUCUAGUGGCGCACGGGUGCGUAACGCGUGGGAACCUGCCCUUAGGUUCGGAAUAACUCCCCGAAAGGGGUGCUAAUACCGGAUAAUGUCUUCGGACCAAAGAUUUAUCGCCUUUGGAUGGGCCCGAGUUGGAUUAGCUAGUUGGUAGGGUAAAAGCCUACCACGGCGACGAUCCAUAGCUGGUCUGAGAGAAUGAUCAGCCACACUGGGACUGAGACACGGCCCAGACUCCUACGGGAGGCAGCAGUGGGUAAUAUUGGACAAUGGGCGAAAGCCUGAUCCAGCAAUGCCGCGUGAGUGAUGAAGGCCUUAGGGUUGUAAAGCUCUUUUAACCGGGAUGAUAAUGACAGUACCGGGAGAAUAAGCGCCGGCUAACUCCGUG
rnacentral:rRNA from 1 species